rnacentral:rRNA from 1 species
CCUACGGGAGGCAGCAGUGAGGAAUAUUGGUCAAUGGACGCAAGUCUGAACCAGCCAUGCCGCGUGCAGGAAGACGGCUCUAUGAGUUGUAAACUGCUUUUGUACGAGGGUAAACGCAGAUACGCGUAUCUGUCUGAAAGUAUCGUACGAAUAAGGAUCGGCUAACUCCGUGCCAGCAGCCGCGGUAAUACGGAGGAUUCAAGCGUUAUCCGGAUUUAUUGGGUUUAAAGGGUGCGUAGGCGGUCGGAUAAGUUAGAGGUGAAAUCCCGAGGCUCAACUUCGGAAUUGCCUCUGAUACUGUUCGGCUAGAGAGUAGUUGCGGUAGGCGGAAUGUAUGGUGUAGCUGUGAAAUGCUUAGAGAUCAUACAGAACACCGAUUGCGAAGGCAGCUUACCAAGCUACUUCUGACGUUGAGGCACGAAAGCGUGGGGAGCAAACAGGAUUAGAUACCCUGGUAGUC